AUGCCCGAGCUUCAAGUGGUAUGUGCGAGCUCUGAUUUGCCUCUAUCAAUGGAGCAAACGAUGGUGGACACGCAAGCAACCACGAGUGAGGGACAUGAUUCAACUGUGACAUGUGAGCAGAGUGAGGUGAGCUCGCUUGGGCGCUCACAUGUAAUUUUGGCACCCGUUCCACCGCCGCCGACGGAUACUUCGAAUGCUCUCUUUGCAAAAGAGCUUUGUGACUUGCUCGCUAGUGUGGAGGCUAUUAUUCCUGGAACUGGAAGGGCAAUUGCCUGCCUCCUGACAGGAUCGACUUACAAGGGCAAAUGCAAGAAGGCGAGCGAUUGCCCUCGGACCGGUUUAGUGCAGGAGAAGUCACUAAGGUGCAAAAGCAAGAAGAGUGGCGUCAUAGGUAAGGUGCCGCGGCUGCUUAGUGGAUGA
rnacentral:rRNA from 1 species